CACCACCAUGCUUCCUGUCAUGAUGAUAAUGGACUAAACCUCUGAAACUAUUCAAGGGCGCUGAGUAGGGUCUGGUAGCAUGACCACUUCCUAGAACAAAGACAAGUAGUGCAAAGCUACAUACAACAGUGUUCCUCUAUGGCUCCUGCUUCGGAGUGUGAGCCAAACGCCUCAAAAUGAAAUAAACCUUUCCCCAAGUUG